CAUAGGCUUGGUCCUGGCCUUUCUAUUAGUUAUUAAUAAACUUACACAUGCAAGAAUCCCCACCCCAGUGAGAAUGCCCUUCAGGUCAUUAAUGACAAAAAGGAGCUGGUAUCAGGCACACUAAAGAGUAGCCCCAAACACCUUGCUUAGCCACACCCCCACGGGAAACAGCAGUGACAGAAAUUAAGCAAUAGAUGAAAAUCUGACUAAAUUAUAUUAUUGAGGACUGGUAAAUUUCGUGCCAGCCACCGCGGCCAUACGAUUAGACCAAACUAAUAGAUAUACGGCGUAAAGGGUGUCUUAGAAUUUAACAAUAAAUAAAGUCGAACUUAAACUAGACUGUAGAAAGUCCUAGUUGCCAUAAGAUAUAUAACGAAAGUAACUUUAAAACUUCUGAUACACGACAGCUAAGAUCCAAACUGGGAUUAGAUACCCCACUAUGCUUAGCCGUAAACCUAAAAAUUUUCUACAAACAAAACUAUUCGCCAGAGUACUACCAGCAACAGCUAGAAACUCAAAGGACUUGACGGUGCCUUAUACCCUUCUAGAGGAGCCUGUUCUAUAAUCGAUAAACCCCGAUCUACCUCACCAACCUUUGCCUAAAUCAGCUUAUAUACCGCCAUCUUCAGCAAACUCUAAAAAGAAAGGAUAGUAAGCACAAGUAUUAACAUAAAAACGUUAGGUCAAGGUGUAGCCUAUAGGUUGGAAAGAAAUGGGCUACAUUCCUCAAAUUGCGGAAUAAAAUAUUUACGAAAACUUAUGUGAAAAUCAAAAGUUAAAGGUGGAUUUAGAAGUAAGCUAAGAAUAGAGUGCUUAGCUGAAUAAGGCCAUGAGGCACGUACACACCGCCCGUCACCCUCCUCAAAUAGAAAUAUUGAUAAAUUACAUAAGCCUCAUAAUAUUAACCUAUGAGAGGAGAUAAGUCGUAACAAGGUAAGUGUACUGGAAAGUGCACUUGGAUAAC
rnacentral:ncRNA from 1 species